GCUGACGGGUCUGCAGCUGUUGGCAGAGGCUGUUCUGGGCGUCAAACCUGCCUCCUCACGGCCCAUAAAACUGCAGCGGGAACCGGAGCAGGUGUGGGCGGGGCGGGCAGGACGCCCUUCAGGGUCUCCCUGACAUCCCAUGCUGUGUGGGUGGGGGGAGGGAGGCUUGUGGGGGCUUCCCUGUGGGGUCCUCCCUUUCCACAGCCAGGGCGUUGGGGUAG
rnacentral:lncRNA from 1 species